UACCGCAUAUUCUCUGAGGAGGAAAGAGGGGGAUCGCAAGACCUCUCGCUUUCGGAGCGGCCGAUGUCGGAUUAGCUAGUUGGUGGGGUAAAGGCCUACCAAGGCGACGAUCCGUAGCGGGUCUGAGAGGAUGAUCCGCCACACUGGGACUGAGACACGGCCCAGACUCCUACGGGAGGCAGCAGUGGGGAAUUUUGGACAAUGGGGGCAACCCUGAUCCAGCCAUGCCGCGUGAGUGAAGAAGGCCUUCGGGUUGUAAAGCUCUUUCGGCGGGGAAGAAAUCGCUUGGAUUAAUACUCUGAGUGGAUGACGGUACCCGAAUAAGAAGCACCGGCUAACUACGUGCCAGCAGCCGCGGUAAUACGUAGGGUGCGAGCGUUAAUCGGAAUUACUGGGCGUAAAGCGUGCGCAGGCGGUUGUGCAAGGCAGGCGUGAAAUCCCCGGGCUUAACCUGGGAACUGCGCUUGUGACUGCACGGCUAGAGUACCGGCAGAGGGGGG
rnacentral:rRNA from 1 species